rnacentral:lncRNA from 1 species
AAAAAAGAACGUGGAAAGCAAAUAUAUGAGUAAUUGCAAUAUACUUUCCUUCUUGUAUUAGUCAUCUAGGGCUUCCAUAACAAAAUACUGCAGACUGGGUAACUUAACCAACAGAAUUUAUUUUCUCACAGUUCUGGAGGCUGGAAGUCUAAGACCAAAGUGUUGGUAGGUUUGGUUUUUCCUGAGGCCUCUUUUCUUGGCCUGUAGAUGGCCACCUUCUUGCUGUGUCCUCCCAUGGCCUUUUGUCUGUGUGUGACCACUCCUGGUGCUUUUUCCUCUUCUGAAAAGGACACUGGGCCGGGCGUGGUGGCUCACCCCUGUAAUCCCAGCACUUUGGGAGGCCAAGGCAGGCGGAUCACCUGAGGUCGGGAGUUCGAGACAAGCCAACAUGGAGAAACCCCAUCUCUACCGAAAAAACAAAAUUAGCCGGGCUAAUCCAACAGGACUGGUGUCCUUUUUUGUGGGGGGGGACGGAGUCUUGCUCUGAAGUGAGGAGCCCCUCCGCCCGGCAGCCGCCCCCUCUGAGAAGUGAGGAGCCCCCUCCACCCGGCAGCCACCCCGUCUGGG